GCCGGGGGAGCAGGGUGGUAACCUGUGUGUGUUUCAGGGCACUAGUGAUGAGGAGGACGGAGAUAACGAGGACCCAAAUGAGGCAGAUGGAGGGAACUUACAGGUGGACUCCAUUGAUGCGGAAGCGGAAGCCGGACCGAGAGCUGAGGCUGAGCCCACGCGACCCAAAAGGAGACACAUAGCCACACUGCAGAUCUACAACUGGGAGCUGGAGAAUGAGUUUGACAAUUUUGAAGACUGGCUGUACAUCUUCCCGCUCCAUCGGGGCAAGGCGAGCGAGGACGAGGAGGGAAACGAGGAGGAGAACUUUGUGGGAAAGUACAAGGGUUCGUUCCUGGUUUAUCCCGCGGAGGAGGCAGGUCCGGAGCACAAGAUCUCGCAGGGGGUCCCCAGGAACAGACCCAUCAAGGUGCUUGUCCGAGUUUACAUUGUUAAGGUAAGUGGAGCGGGACGUGGAGA